GGAGGGAUCAUUAUUGAAACUUGGAUUCAACCAGAAGAAGGGGGAUGGUGGGGGAUGAAGGAGUAUUUCUCUUGAUUCUUUCCUCUAUCUCUUUUCUUUUGGACAACCAACCAACACACAUCACUAGGAAAAUAACACACACAGAGAGAUUUUCUCUGGAAAAGCUCUUGUCUGAUAAGUAGCUUGAUUUGGAGUUACUAUAAUCAAUACAACUUUCAACAACGGAUCUCUUGGCUCUCACAUCGAUGAAGAACAUAGCAAAGUGUGAAAAUUAAUGUGAAUUGCAGAAUUCAGUGAAUCAUCGAGUUUUUGAACGCAUCUUGCACUUCUUGGUAUUCCAAGGAGUAUGUCUGGUUGAGUAAUGUUAACCAAACUAAUCAAUCCCUUGAUUGCUGCAAUCCAGCAAUGCAAGAGAUUGGACUUGAGUGUUUACCUUGUCUCUUUUGACAAGGUUCGCUUGAAAUGCAAAGGAACAGGAUCCUUGGGAUUCAUUUCUCAAGGAAUGGCGUGGAGGCUUGUUCCAUUUAACAAUGACUUGAUGAAGGAGAGAUUCGUCUCAUCUCAUAAAGUCCUGUUAAAAGAGUCUCAUUCAACAUGCUCUCUUGUUUCAUCAACUAGGGAAACUGUCGGGACGAGUGGUUUGAAAAGACAGGAAUCUUGAUUUCUGCUCUCUUCUCUCUCUCUCUCUCGGCUUUGAAUUUCCAUUCUCAACUCAGACAAGACUACCCGCUGAAUUUAAGCAUAUAAAUAAGCGGAGGAAAAGAAACUAACAAGGAUUCCCCUAGUAACGGCGAGUGAAGCGGGAAAAGCUCAAAUUUGGAAUCUACCGAGAGUAACAUUCUUGGUCGAAUUGUAGUUUCAAGAAAGAAUGGCUGAGAGGGCCGUGCUAGAUGCAAGUUCCUUGGAACAGGGCAUCAGAGAGGGUGAUAAUCCCGUCCACCAUCUAGCCGAGCUUUCACCAAAGGCCUUCUUUUCAAAGAGUCGAGUUGUUUGGGAUUGCAGCUCAAAAUGGGUGGUAAAUUUCAUCUAAAGCUAAAUAUGGGUGAGAGACCGAUAGCGAACAAGUACCGUGAGGGAAAGAUGAAAAGCACUCUGAAGAGAGAGUGAAAAGUACGUGAAAUUGUUGAAAGGGAAACGCUUGAAGCCAGUCAAGGUUUUCUUGAGAUCAGGGGACUGGGUCGGGCAGAGCGGGCAUUGAGAUUGGUCUCUUUGGGCUAACUUUGUGUCUGGUCUUGUCAAAUUCUAUCUCUGUACGUCUCUGGUUAACAUGUCAACAUCAGUUUGGCUGUUUGGGAGAAAGGUAACAGGAUUUGGUUGGGCUUUGGUCGGGCCUCGGCCCAUCAAGGUUCAAGCCUGCUUAUCACGAUACCAAAUGCUAGACUGAGGACUGCAGUACAGGGCAUUGUCUUGGGCUAGGCAGUCUUGUGGCGAAACUGGGAAUAAACAGCCUAGCUGAUUACUCCUGUUCUCGUUCAAGUUCUGUCCAAUCUAAGCUGGUUCUGACUUUGGAUGUUGACGAAAUGGCUUUAAACGACCCGUCUUGAAACACGGACCAAGGAGUCUAACAUGGAUGCAAGUAUUUGGGUGGCAAACCCAUCUGCGCAAUGAAAGUGAUAUCUCCCAAGGGUAGGAAACUGGGGAGAAUUAAACCCUCUCCCUAGUCGCACUAUCAACCAAUCUUGACUAGCUCCGGCUUGAUAGAUUUGAGUAAGAGCAUGUAUGUUGGGACCCGAAAGAUGGUGAACUAUGCCUGAAUAGGGUGAAGUCAGACGAAAGUCUGAUGGAAGCUCGUAGCGAUUCUGACGUGCAAAUCGAUCGUCAAAUUUGGGUAUAGGGGCGAAAGACUAAUCGAACCAUCUAGUAGCUGGUUCCUGC
rnacentral:misc_RNA from 1 species